GUUUUGCAUCUGGACCUUCGAUACUGACAUCAGGGGCAUCAAUGUCCACUUUGGGGCCAGAAAUCUCAAUGUCAGCCUUAGGAAGGGUAACAUCCACAUCUGGGCCCUCUCCUUUGAAUCCUGGCAUGCUGAAUUUGGGCAUUUUCACCUUGGGCAUCUUCAGGUGCCAGUCUGGGCCAUGAACAUCCACAUCUGGGGCAUCAAUGUCCACUUUGGGCCCUCUGAUGUCAACAUCUGGCACUUUCAUUUCACCUUCUACCUUGGGAACAGACACAUCCAUAUCUGGGGCAUCAAUGUCCAUUUUGGGUCCUUUGAUGUCAACAUCUGGCACUUUCAUUUCACCUUCUACCUUGGGCACAGACACAUCCAUAUCCCCUUUGACUUUGGGGCCUUUCAGGUGUAAGUCCACAUCAGGCAUGGAGAUCUUGGGGGCCUUGAAGUGCAUCUCAGGCAUCUUAAACUUGGGCCCUUUCAACUUUGCAUCAGGACACUCCAGA
rnacentral:lncRNA from 1 species